rnacentral:tRNA from 1 species
UUGAUAGAAACCAAAAAGAGGUGUAUCACUGUUAAUGAUAUAAUUGAAAUAAAUUUCCUAUCAAG